rnacentral:ncRNA from 1 species
AAAAAGUUUUAUUCUAGCUUAGAAAAUUAGUGUAUAAAUUAUUUUAUAUGUAAGUUAUUGUGAGGUUUAAAUAAAAAUUUAAUAUUUUUAAAAAUAUUUUUUAAUUCGCAGUAUUUAAUUUUAAAAAUUAAAGAAAUUUAGAUUUAGAAAUUUAUAAUAAUAUUAACAAAAUUUGUGCCAGCAGUUGCGGUUAAACAAUUAAUAUAAUUAAUUUAAUUAAAUUUUUAAUUAUAUUCAUAUAUUUAUUAUUAAUAUAAAAUUGAAUUUUUUAAGUGAAAUUUUAAAAUUUUAAUAAGUUAUAUAUUUAUGUAUUAAGGUUAAUAAAUUUUAUAAAAAACUAGGAUUAGAUACCCUAUUAUUAAAAUGUAAAUUUACAAAAUUAAAUGAUUAGUAGUUAAAUUCUUUAAAGUUAAAGAUUUUGGCGGUAUUUUAGUCUAUUUAGAGGAAUCUGUUCUAUAAUUGAUAAUCCACGAUUAGAAUUACUUAUAUUAAAAGUUUGUAUAUCGUUGUAGUUGAAUAUUUUAUUAGAAUUUAAAAUAUUCAUAAUUUUUAAUUAGAAAAUAAAUCAAAUCAAGGUGCAGUUUAUAUAUAUGAAGAAAUGGAUUACAAUAAAAAUAUUUUUGGAUUAGUAAUUUAAAAUUAUUAAGAAAUUGGAUUUAAUAGUAAUUAAAUUUUUUAAUUUGAUGAUUUUAGCUCUAAAAUAUGUACAUAUUGCCCGUCGCUUUCAUAUAAAGUGAAAUAAGUCGUAACAAAGUAAAUGUACUGGAAAGUGUAUUUAGAUAGCA